UGGGGGAUAUUGCACAAUGGGCGAAAGCCUGAUGCAGCGACGCCGCGUGGGGGAUGAAGGCCUUCGGGUUGUAAACUUCUUUUGCUCUGAACAAGGCAUGCUAAUGGGUGUGUUGAGUGUAGGGGUUGAUUAGCGCCGGCUAACUACGUGCCAGCAGCCGCGGUAAUACGUAGGGCGCGAGCGUUGUCCGGAAUUAUUGGGCGUAAAGGGCUUGUAGGUGGCUGGUUGCGUCUGUCGUGAAAGCUCAUGGCUUAACUGUGGGUUUGCGGUGGGUACGGGCUGGCUUGAGUGCAGUAGGGGAGGCUGGAAUUCCUGGUGUAGCGGUGGAAUGCGCAGAUAUCAGGAGGAAUACCGGUGGCGAAGGCGGGUCUCUGGGCUGUUACUGACACUGAGGAGCGAAAGCAUGGGGAGCGAACAGA
rnacentral:rRNA from 1 species